rnacentral:rRNA from 1 species
GGGGUGCAACACGAGGACUUCCCAAGAGGUCACCCAUCUUAGUACUGCUCUCGCCCAAGCACGCUUAACUGCGGAGUUCUGAUGGGAUCCGGUGCAUUAGUGCUGGUAUGGUCGCACCC